CUUAAAGGUCACUUGAUUCCUAAUGGGUGGGACAUGAUGGGGUACAGCUUGCCUCAGGCGUACUGCCAGCCAGGACUCCUGCUGAUGGGUUAUUGUGUGCUGCAGAGGGCAUACAGAUGGCAGGGAGUUAUGAUGAGCACCUCUUCAAGCUGUCAGCUGUCAGUGGAGUGUUUUCUCUUUCUACUUUGGGGUGGUAUUCCAAACUGGGAGCUACAGGAAAAGGAAGAGGUAACACAACAAUAAUUAUGAAGGAAAGGAUGAGAAGGCACCGUAUGUUCCCAUCAUACUAGCAUGGGAAGGAGAGACUGGAAUGACAUGAUAUUUCCAGCAAAAAUGUGGGGUCAUGCAGGCAAUUGAUAUGUUGUGAGAGAGGAGAACAUUUAUCUCUUCAUAUGGGAAAGGUUGCUGAUCUAAUAUCUAGGAGAUCUUAAUAUCUAAGAGAUUUAUACCGACUGGUCCCCUGGAAUCAAAUCUGUUGGCCACGAGGACUGAGGUGAUACCUCCUGGCCCAGUCCAGUAGGACCAGACUGCUGCCAUUCCUGUCUUCCAUAAAGCAGCUCUUUUGAGUAAAAGGAACAGAAUGGGACUAAACUUAUGUUGUCUUUAUCUGUAACAUCAAUCACAAAUGCAUCACGUGUUACCAAUCUAUGGUGAUGAAAUUCAAUGGGGAGAUGGGAAGCAUCUGUUCUUUGUUUUUCAUGAAGCUUUCUUUCCUUGAAAUGUAAGUCAUCACUUUGUGUGAGUCUGCAAAUUAAGGAAAUGGCUUAAUGGUGCUCUCAAUUAGAAGGAACCCGUGCCUGUAAAGUAAGUAUUCUUUUCUCAGACAUUUACAAAGCCAUACUAGUAACACCUUGCAAUGACCCUUUGAGAUGCUCUCAUCUCAGUUUGACAGAACUGGGAACAGGGAAAAUAAUGUAAAGGAAUGGAGAAAAGAACACAGUAGAAUUCAUGAAAUGCUCUGCCUCCCUGUUCUUUUUUUCUAGGAUAAUGACCUUUCCUGUGUCCUUUAAGGCAAUCCACAGAGGUCUUACUUGUAUCUUUAAUGUUUCAUUCAACAUAGUGUAAGACCAUGAAUAAUGAAGUUUACACUGUACAAGGAGGGCAGCUAUUGAUUUACACAUGAGCUAUGUCUCAUUUAUUAAUCUGCAAGUCCUAUGCAAAUAAGAUGCAUGAUAAGAAAUUAAAUCAAUGCCUGUCAUUUAUUCU
rnacentral:lncRNA from 7 species